rnacentral:rRNA from 1 species
CCUAGAGUUCUGGGCCGCACGCGCGCUACACUGACAGAGCCAACGAGUUCUUUCCCUUGGCCGGAAGGUCUGGGUAAUCUUGUUAAACUCUGUCGUGCUGGGGAUAGAGCAUUGCAAUUAUUGCUCUUCAACGAGGAAUGCCUAGUAAGCGCGUGUCAUCAGCACGCGUUGAUUACGUCCCUGCCCUUUGUACACACCGCCCGUCGCUACUACCGAUUGAAUGGCUCAGUGAGGCCUUCGGACUGGCUCGAGGAGGUUGGCAACGACCACCUCAAGCCGGAAAGUUGGUCAAACUCGGUCAUUUAGAGGAAGUAAAAGUCGUAACAAGGUUUCCGUAGGUGAACCUGCGGAAGGAUCAUUACCAAUUAAACCGGUGUGGUCGCGGCCUCCAGGGGUCUUCCCCUGGGCGGUAGAGGUAACACUUUCACGCGCCACAUGUCUGAAUCCUUUUUUUACGAGCACCUUUCGUUCUCCUUCGGCGGGGCAGCCUGCCGUUGGAACUAUCAAAACCUUUUUUUGCAUCUAGCAUUACCUGUUCUGAUACAAACAAUCGUUACAACUUUCAACAAUGGAUCUCUUGGCUCUGGCAUCGAUGAAGAACGCAGCGAAAUGCGAUAAGUAGUGUGAAUUGCAGAAUUCAGUGAAUCAUCGAAUCUUUGAACGCACAUUGCGCCCCUUGGUAUUCCAUGGGGGCAUGCCUGGUCGAGCGGCAUCUAAACCCUCAAGCUCUGCUUGGGGGUGGGGGUCUGUCCCGCCUCUGGGCGGGGACUCGCCCCCAAUGCAUUUGCAGCAGGCUUUGCCUUCCUCUUGGGGAGUACAGGGGGGCCUUUAAAGGGGCUAAGGCUGGGGUCCCUGAACAACAAUUUAUCAACUUUUGACCCCCGGA